UACGUAGGGUGCAGGCGUUAAUCGGAAUUACUGGGCGUAAAGAGCGCGCAGGCGGUCGAUCAAGUCGCGUGUGAAAGCCCCCGGCUCAACUGGGGAGGGUCACGCGAUACUGAUCGACUCGAAGGCAGGAGAGGGUAGUGGAAUUCCCGGUGUAGUGGUGAAAUGCGUAGAUAUCGGGAGGAACACCAGUGGCGAAGGCGACUACCUGGCCUGUUUCUUGACGCUGAGGCGCGAAAGCUAGGGGAGCAAGCGGG
rnacentral:rRNA from 1 species